rnacentral:rRNA from 1 species
AUUGAACGCUGGCGGCAUGCCUUACACAUGCAAGUCGAACGGCAGCAUGGAGAGCUUGCUCUCUGAUGGCGAGUGGCGAACGGGUGAGUAAUGCAUCGGAACGUACCGUGUAAUGGGGGAUAACGUAGCGAAAGUUACGCUAAUACCGCAUACGACCUGAGGGUGAAAGCAGGGGAUCGCAAGACCUCGCGUUAUACGAGCGGCCGAUGGCAGAUUAGCGAGUUGGUGAGGUAAAGGCUCACCAAGGCGACGAUCUGUAGCGGGUCUGAGAGGAUGAUCCGCCACACUGGGACUGAGACACGGCCCAGACUCCUACGGGAGGCAGCAGUGGGGAAUUUUGGACAAUGGGGGCAACCCUGAUCCAGCCAUGCCGCGUGAGUGAAGAAGGCCUUCGGGUUGUAAAGCUCUUUCGGCCGGGAAGAAAUCGCACAGGCUAAUACUCUGUGUGGAUGACGGUACCGGCAUAAGAAGCACCGGCUAACUACGUGCCAGCAGCCGCAGUAA